rnacentral:tRNA from 1 species
UAAACAUUAGUGUUAAAUGCACAUAGAACUUUGAAUUCUAUAGAAAUAAUCUUUUAUUAUGUUUAA